GACGAACGCUGGCGGCAUGCCUAAUACAUGCAAGUCGAGCGAACAGAUGAAGUGCUUGCACUUCUGACGUUAGCGGCGAACGGGUGAGUAACACGUAAGGAAUCUACCUAUAAGCGGGGGAUAACAUUCGGAAACGGGUGCUAAUACCGCAUAAUAUCUUCUUCCGCAUGGAAGAAGAUUGAAAGACGGCUCUGCUGUCACUUAUAGAUGACCUUGCGGUGCAUUAGUUAGUUGGUGGGGUAACGGCCUACCAAGACGAUGAUGCAUAGCCGACCUGAGAGGGUGAUCGGCCACAUUGGGACUGAGACACGGCCCAAACUCUUACGGGAGGCAGCAGUAGGGAAUCUUCCGCAAUGGGCGAAAGCCUGACGGAGCAAUGCCGCGUGAGUGAAGAAGGCCUUCGGGUCGUAAAACUCUGUUAUAAGAGAAGAACAAAUUGUAGAGUAACUGCUACAGUCUUGACGGUAUCUUAUCAGAAAGCCACGGCUAACUACGCGCCAGCCGCCGCCGUAA
rnacentral:rRNA from 1 species